rnacentral:tRNA from 1 species
AAAAAGGUAAGCUAAUAAAGCUAUUAGGUUCAUACCCUAAUUAUAGAAGUAAAACCUUCUCCUUUUUA